rnacentral:rRNA from 1 species
UACGUAGGGUGCAAGCGUUGUCCGGAUUCAUUGGGCGUAAAGCGCGUGUAGGCGGUCCGGUAAGUCCGCUGUGAAAGUCGGGGGCUCAACCCUCGAAUGCCGGUGGAUACUGUCGGGCUAGAGUGCGGAAGAGGCGAGUGGAAUUCCUGGUGUAGCGGUGAAAUGCGCAGAUAUCAGGAGGAACACCGGUGGCGAAGGCGGGUCUCUGGGCCGAUACUGACGCUGAGGAGCGAAAGCGUGGGGAGCAAACAGG